rnacentral:rRNA from 1 species
GGAUUAGGCAUGCAAGUCGAACGGACUUUAUAUUUUCCGAUGAUGAGAUUACAUCAAGUCAAAGGUCGUUUAAAGUUAGUGGCGAACGAGGUAGUAAUACAUAGGAACUUCCCCCUAAGUCGUGAAUAACGCACCGAAAGGUGUGCUAAUACACGAUGGUCCCUCCGGGGUAAAGAUUUUUCGCUUAGGGAAAGGCCUGUGAAGUAUCAGCUAGUUGGCAGUGUAAUGGACUACCAAGGCUAUGACGCUUAGGGGAGCUGAGAGGCUGACCCCCACCGAUGGGACUGAGACACGGCCCAUACACCUACGGGUGGCUGCAGUCGAGAAUCUUCCGCAAUGGACGAAAGUCUGACGGAGCGACGCCGCGUGAUUGAUGAAGCAUUUCGGUGUGUAAAGAUCUUUUAUGAGGGAAGAAGUUUAUUGACGGUACCUCAUGAAUAAGGGGCUCCUAAUCUCGUGCCAGCAGCCGCGGUAAUA